GUUGUGGAAGCGACUGAUGAGAGCUGAAGGGCGGAAAAGGUAAAGCGGCCGCAAGCCCGCGACCGGGCCCGGGAGUCGCAGCCAGGAAUCUGAAGUAAACAGUAAAGCAUGAUGUCUUCAGUAUGUUCUGAGUAUACAAUUGGUGGGGUGAAGAUUAACUUUCCUUGUAAAGCUUAUCCAUCACAGCUUGCUAUGAUGAAUUCUAUUGUCAGAGGAUUAAAUAGUAAGCAGCAUUGUUUGUUGGAGAGCCCCACAGGGAGUGGGAAAAGCUUAGCCUUACUUUGCUCUGCUUUAGCAUGGCAGCGAUCUCUUAGUGGGAAGCCAGUGAACGAAGGCUUAAGUAAAAAAGCUGAAGUACCAUUGUCGUGUUGUUGUACAUGCCAUUCGAAGAAUUCUACAAACAAUGACGUGAACCAGGGAACUUCAUAUCAUUUCAACAGUCCAAGUACACCAACUUCUGAAAGAAAUGGCACUUUGUCAACUUGUCAAGACUCUCCUGAAAAAACUACACUGGCUGCAAAGCUAUCUGCUAAGAAACAGGCAUCCAUGUACAGAGAUGAAAAUGAUGAUUUUCAAGUAGAGAAGAAAAGAAUUCGACCCUUAGAAACUACACAGCAGAUUAGAAAACGUCAUUGUUUUGAAAAGGAGGUGCACCAUUUGGAUGCAAAAGUUGCUUCAGGAAAGACCACAAAACUCAACUCCCCAUUAGGAAAGAUAAACUCCUUUUCUCCACAAAAUCCCCCUGGUAACUGUUCUAGGUGCUGUUGUUCUACUAAACAAGGAAACAGUCAAGAUUCUUCAAAUACCACUAAGAAGGAUCAUGGGGGGAAAUCCAAGAUACCCAAAAUAUAUUUUGGGACACGCACACACAAGCAGAUUGCUCAGAUUACUAGAGAGCUCCGGAGGACAGCAUACUCUGGGGUCCCAAUGACUAUUCUUUCCAGCAGGGAUCACACUUGUGUCCAUCCUGAAGUAGUAGGUAACUUCAACAGAAAUGAAAAGUGCAUGGAAUUGCUAGAUGGAAAAAAUGGAAAAUCCUGCUAUUUUUAUCAUGGUGUUCAUAAAAUUCGUGAUCAACACAUAUUACAGACUCUCCAAGGGAUGUGCAAGGCCUGGGAUAUAGAAGAAUUCGUCAGCUUGGGGAAAAAACUAAAGGCAUGUCCAUAUUACACAGCACGAGAACUAAUGCAGGAUGCUGACAUAAUAUUUUGUCCCUACAACUAUCUUCUAGAUGCACAAAUAAGGGAAAGUAUGGAUAUCAAUCUGAAAGAACAGGUUGUCAUUUUAGAUGAAGCUCAUAACAUUGAGGACUGUGCUCGGGAAUCAGCAAGUUACAGUAUAACGGAAGUUCAGCUUCGCUUUGCUCGGGAUGAACUAGAUGGUAUGGUUGACAAUAACAUAAGGAAGACAGACCACGAACCCCUACGAGCUGUGUGCUGUAGCCUCAUUAAUUGGUUAGAAGCAAACUCUGAACACCUUGUGGAAAGGGAUUAUGAAUCAUCCUGUAAAGUAUGGAGUGGAAGUGAAAUGGUCUUAAAUUUACACAAAAUGGGCAUAACCACUGCUACUUUUCCCAUUUUGCAGGGACAUUUUUCUGCUAUCCUUCAAAAAGAAGAAAAAGUCUCAUCAGUUCAUGGUAAAGAGGAGGCAAGAGAAGUACCUGUUAUUAGUGCUUCAACUCAAAUAAUGCUCAAAGGACUUUUUAUGGUGCUUGACUAUCUUUUUAGGCAAAAUAGCAGAUUUGCAGAUGAUUAUAAAGUUGCUAUUCAACAGACUUACUCUUGGAUAAAUCAGACUGAUGCUUCAGAUAAAAAUGGGUUCUUGGUUCUACCAAAAAAUAAGAAACGUUUACGACAGAAAACAGCAGUUCAUGUGCUGAAUUUUUGGUGCUUAAAUCCAGCUGUGGCCUUUUCAGAUAUUAAUGGCAAGGUUUGGACGAUUGUUUUGACAUCUGGGACAUUAUCACCAAUGAAAUCCUUUUCAUCAGAACUUGGUGUUACAUUUACUAUCCAACUGGAGGCUAAUCAUGUCAUUAAUAACUCACAGGUUUGGGUUGGCACCAUUGGGUCAGGCCCCAAGGGUCGCAAUCUCUGUGCUACCUUCCAGCACACGGAAACAUUUGAGUUCCAGGAUGAAGUGGGAGCAGUUGUGUUAUCUGUGUGCCAGACUGUGAGCCAAGGAAUUUUGUGUUUCCUGCCAUCUUACAAGUUACUAGAAAAGUUAAAAGAACGUUGGCUCUCCACUGGUGUAUGGCAUAAUCUGGAGUUGGUGAAGACAGUCAUUGUAGAACCACAGAGAGGAGAAAAAACUGAUUUUGAUGAAUUACUGCAGAUGUACUACGAUGCAAUCAAGUACAAAGGAGAAAAAGAUGGCGCCCUCCUGGUGGCAGUUUGUCGUGGUAAAGUGAGUGAGGGUCUGGAUUUCUCAGAUGACAACGCCCGUGCUGUCAUAACAAUAGGAAUUCCUUUUCCAAAUGUGAAAGAUCUACAGGUUGAAUUAAAGCGACAAUAUAAUGACCAGCAUUCAAAAUUAAGAGGUCUUUUACCAGGUCGUCAAUGGUACGAAAUUCAAGCAUACAGGGCCUUAAACCAGGCCCUAGGUAGGUGUAUUCGACACAAAAAUGAUUGGGGAGCUCUUAUUCUAGUGGAUGAUCGCUUCAGGAGUAACCCAAGUCGAUACAUAUCUGGACUUUCUAAGUGGGUUCGGCAGCUGAUUCAGCACCAUUCAACCUUUGAGAGUGCACUGGAGUCCUUGGCUGAAUUUUCCAAAAAGCACCUAAAGGUCAUUGAUGUAUACAAAGAAGACAGAAAAUCUAUACAGGACAAUGAGUCUAUGCUUGCAGUGGCUUGUUUGAAGGAUAAUACCUCAACUUAUUUAUUAGAAGCAGCAAGCCAUCUCUCACCAGAAUAUCCUAGGGAAGAUGAUCCAUUACUAUUGGAAGAGUCUGCCCAGGCAGUAGGAGCAGAAAAAAUUGUGAUUUCCAGAUCCACAAGCCCAACCUUCAACAAACAAACAAACAGAGUUAGCUGGUCUGGCAGUAAUUUUCUAGAACAGUGUCUUACUGGUAAAAUUCUGACUGGAACACCUAAGUUUAGGUCAUCAGAGGACUGUGCCUCUAAUUCUUCCACUUUCAAAACAGAAAAGGGACGUGAAGCAGUUUUGCCACUCACUGAUAAAUAUGAGUCCUCCUCUCUGACAGUAAACACAUCACUUGGACCAUGCCCUCAGUCAGAAACCAUUGUUCCAUCAAUAAAGAUUAAUGCUACUCUCCUGAAUCCAGAAGAUCCAGACAUUCAGUUGUCUCUAGUAAGUGAAGAAGCUGAACUUUCUACUUCAAAUACAGCUUUUGAAACAGAAGCAGAGGAUGAAUCUAUCUAUUUUACACCCGAACUUUAUGAUCCCAUAGAUACAAAUGAAGAAAAGAAUGAACUAGUUGGAACUGAUAGAGACAACAGAUUGGCUAAUAAUUCAAAUUGUAUUUUAGCUGAAGAUCUUUUUGAAAUUAAAACUAUGAAAGGAAUGGAUUCAGUCAGAGAAAUGAAAGCUGAGGAUUGCACAGGCACAGAGUUGAAUAGACUCAUGCAUAUUAAAGAAAGUAAAGUUGAUGACAUUGGUAGUAAUGUAAAAACGACUCAUAUAAAUGAAUUGGAACUGGGAAAAAACUCAUGAAACGGAUAUAAAGAACUUUAAACAGUCUCCUUCCAAAAAUAAAGAUAUGUUCCCUGGUGUUAGGGCUGAAAAUACAUAGAACAUACAGGCCACGAAUCAGGAAAACUACCAGCUGGAGAAAGGGCUUGGUUCAUGGAAGAAAGGUACAUUGUGAAGAGUAGAUGCUUCAUGACUUGACUUUUAAAGUUUACAUGAAUCAUUUAAAACCUUUAAUAAUUGUGUUGGAAAUUAAUGACAACUCUUUGUGCUACUACUAUACAUUUAAUUAUUACGUGGUUUUUAAUUUUGUAUUGUUUCUAAGUUCACAUGCUUCUCCAUAUUAUUUUUCUGCAAUAUGACCUUCUUAUGCUAUGUUCCUAUAGUAAAAUACAUUCAAAAUAUUUAAUUCUUUGAAAUUGCUUAUAAAACUUCAUGAAGUCAAAACGCCUAUUGUAAAAUCACUUGA